AUUGAACGCUGGCGGCAGGCCUAACACAUGCAAGUCGAGCGGAGCGGCGGACGGGAGAGUAACGCCGAGGACUCGGCCCGGUAGUGGGGGAUAAAGUCGGGAAACGGUCGCUAAUACCGCAUAGUAUCAGAAGAGCCUAGCGCGGAUUAGCUAGUUGGUGGGGUAAAGGCCUACCAAGGCGACGAUCCGUAACUGGUCUGAGAGGAUGAACCGUCACACUGGAACUGAGACACGGUCCAGACUCCUACGGGAGGCAGCAGUGGGGAAUAUUGCACAAUGGGCGAAAGCCUGAUCCAGCCAGGCCGCGUGUGUGAAGAAGGUCUUCGGAUUGUAAAGCACUUUAAGUUGGGAGGCGUUACCAACAGAAUAAGCACCGGCUAACUACGUGCCAGCCGCCGCGGUAAUAC
rnacentral:rRNA from 1 species